CCUAACUUCAGGCGAUCCACCUGCCUCAGCCUCCCAAAGUUCUGGGAUUACAGGUGUGAGCCACCGCGACCGGCCAUAAUGUUAUGCUUUUGUAAGACUGGCAGCACCAAGAUUUGUUUAUACCAGCAUCAUCACAAACUUACUUUACCAAGCAGACGCUGCUGGAAAAACAAGAACUUUCCUUGUCUGCUGUUAAGAUGCCAGAAAAAUGAUGAAAAGAGCACAGUACCGAAAAUAAGAAGAGAGUAAAACCAUAAUAAGAAAGACAAGGUGCUGGAGGGUGCACGGUGAUUAGGAACUGGCAUGGAUCCCCAGUGCAGCACAACUGCUUCACAGAAAAGUGUCUGUGUGUCUGGAGUUGGUUCCUUCCCAUGGGUUCAUUCGUGGUCUCGCUGACUUCAAGAAUGGAGCCGUGGACC
rnacentral:lncRNA from 1 species